GACGAACGCUGGCGGCGUGCUUAACACAUGCAAGUCGAACGGAAAGGCCCUGCUUGCAGGGUCCUCGAGUGGCGAACGGGUGAGUAACACGUGGGUGAUCUGCCCUGCACUUCGGGAUAAGCCUGGGAAACUGGGUCUAAUACCGGAUAGGAGCCAUUUUUAGUGUGAUGGUUGGAAAGUUUUUUCGGUGUAGGAUGAGCUCGCGGCCUAUCAGCUUGUUGGUGGGGUAAUGGCCUACCAAGGCGGCGACGGGUAGCCGGCCUGAGAGGGUGGACGGCCACAUUGGGACUGAGAUACGGCCCAGACGCCUACGGGAGGCAGCAGUGGGGAAUAUUGCACAAUGGGCGCAAGCCUGAUGCAGCGGCGCCGCGUGGGGGAUGACGGCCUUCGGGUUGUAAACUCCUUUCGCUAGGGACGAAGCUUUUUGUGACGGUACCUAGAGAAGAAGCACCGGCUAACUACGUG
rnacentral:rRNA from 1 species